UACGUAGGGUGCGAGCGUUGUCCGGAAUUAUUGGGCGUAAAGGGCUCGUAGGCGGUUUGUCGCGUCGGGAGUGAAAACACCGGGCUUAACUCGGUGCUGGCUUUCGAUACGGGCAGACUAGAGGUAUGCAGGGGAGAGCGGAAUUCCUGGUGUAGCGGUGAAAUGCGCAGAUAUCAGGAGGAACACCGGUGGCGAAGGCGGUUCUCUGGGCAUGUCCUGACGCUGAGGAGCGAAAGUGUGGGGAGCGAACAGG
rnacentral:rRNA from 1 species